ACGACGCUGGCGGCGUGCCUAAUACAUGCAAGUCGAACGGUCUUUCUAUGGAAGCUUGCUUCCACUGAGAAGAUAGUGGCGAACGGGUGAGUAACACGUGGGUAACCUGCCCAUAAGAGGGGGAUAACAUCCGGAAACGGGUGCUAAUACCGCAUAGUUUUCUUGAUCGCAUGAUUGAGAAAGGAAAGACGGCCUUUGUGCUGUCGCUUAUGGAUGGACCCGCGGCGUAUUAGUUAGUUGGUGAGGUAACGGCUCACCAAGACGAUGAUACGUAGCCGACCUGAGAGGGUGAUCGGCCACAUUGGGACUGAGACACGGCCCAAACUCCUACGGGAGGCAGCAGUAGGGAAUCUUCCGCAAUGGACGAAAGUCUGACGGAGCAACGCCGCGUGAGUGAAGAAAGGUUUUCGGAUCGUAAAACUCUGUUGUCAGAGAAGAACAAGUUGGAGAGUAACUGCUCCAGCCUUGACGGUAUCUGACCAGAAAGCCACGGCUAACUACGUGCCAGCAGCCGC
rnacentral:rRNA from 1 species